GGGGGUUUCUCUCCUUUGUCCCUGAGCAGUUUGCUCUCCAGCUAGUGAGGGGGUCAGACAGAACGUCUCCCUCCAAGAAGAGACGCUUCACUAUCUGUAGGUAGGAUAAGCCUUUUCCAUCCCCUUCAUAUCCUGAGCGCUGAGCCUUCCCUUCCCGGCGCGGCCCCCCGGCCUCUCCUCAGAGCGGGGCCUGCAGUCAACGGGACAUUCCAGCGCCAUCCGCGGGGAAAGAGGGAGCUUAUUGUUGUCUGCGGACGCUCUCUGUCCCUGAGAUGGGAUGCAGCCAGACACAUGCGGCCGAGCCCUCCGAGAGCAGCUCGCACGGCUUCAAGCACUGGCGAACCCAGACAUGACCUCUAGCUGGAACAUGAGUCACCUCCACAGCUGGAACCAGCCCUCCCGGCACGCGUCGUCCCUGCCUAGCCUGGAGCUCACGGGGCCUGUUUAAGUAGGAGUCUAGUCCAAUGGGACUUAGGAACCCAAGUCCCGUAAGUGCUUUCAAAAAUGUGGUCCUUUGUGCCUCGGUUUCCCCAGCUAUAAAACGAGGAUAGUGGCAACGCCCUACUUCACCGCCGUGUUGUGAGGCUAAAUGGUUACAUCUUUCUUGAUGGUGGCAGCAGGGUAACAUUGCUUUCUUUCUGAAAACCCAGAGCCUUCACACACAAGCACCAAAGCCCAAGAAGAGACAAAGCAGGCUGCUCUGUAAGGCCCAGAGGAGCAACCCACCCAACAUGCUGUAGGCUGGCUCUUUGCAAAACUGACCGAUCUCAGACUUCCCUCAGAGUCCCCGAACCUGCAAGUAGGACCAGAAAACCCCUUAGGAAUCAAAGGGACAGCUUAGCAUUAAAAAAUAAAAAUAAAAAAUCAGUACAUCACUGUGCCCAGAUACCACGGUGAUGGGAGCUGUACAGGUACCAAGACAGACUCCUUUUCUAUGUGAAAUCUAUCUAUAAAGCCACGGCCAAAGAGCAGUAGGUGUAGUGGGGAUUAGGAGAGGUUCCCCUCCCCCCGUCCCCCCAUCCUUGGGUGAUAUAAGAUAGUAAAUACACACAAAUCUAGUCAUAAAAUGAAUGGAGGCUGCAUUAAAUCACAGGUCAUAAACUUCCAGGGGUUUGUGGCUCAUUUCGUUGAAGCCAUGCAAUUUACCGAGGAGAAGCAUAAUCCACAGCAGCUGCCCCAUUGCGACCCCCACCUCCGCCUUCCUUAUUCACGGGGGCUGAGGCGAACCCGGCCCUGAAAUCUUCAGAACUGAAUGAAACAUCAAAACUUUUAUAGUCCAGAGGCGCUCGCCGGAUCCAGGUAGGAAUCAGAAUGUCAGCAGCGAAGGGUUUGAUCUGAUCUCAGCGAGGGGGCGGUGUUGGGGAUGGAGAGCUGCUCUUUCAAAGGCAGGCCUCCUGCUAGCGCCCAGAUCGGCUAACACAUAGGACCAACGCUGAUGCAGCGGCCAUUCCGUGGCCCUGGAGGCAGGGUUACCAGUCUCGGCUGGUGCAGUCGGGGGGUUUUUCAAAAGCCAGUAAGUUGGCAAGGUCUCCCAGAGGCCGAGCAUGGAGGGGGAAGGAUCCGAUCUUUUAACAAACACAAAUUCCAUCAGUAUCUCUGAUCGGGCCCUUUUGGCCACUGCAGAACAGCCUGGCGUCCUUACAUUCCCAUCUUUCCCCAGGACAGCCUGUGGUAGCAAAGGGGCGUGGCCUUCCACGGAGAAUCCCAGCACGGAUGCCCUCUGCUGGCAGAACCGGGGAAGUUUCUGCUGCCUGGCAGGAAGCAGAAGGGCGGAGCCUCUGAAGGGAACAGGAAGUAUAAGAGAUGGGCCCUGUGGCUCUUUCUGGGCCCAGCCACCAGAGGAGGAAGAACCCUUGAGCAGGAAGACUGCCCCUGUCUCUGGGCGCACGGACAGCAGACUAGGGAGCUCAGACCAGCAGUGAGGCUCAAUUACGGUGGGCAGUGACAACCGUGCUGGCAGGACGUUGCUAAUUCCCCACUACAGAGCCAGUAACAGAGCCGGAGCAGCAAAGGGGCGUGGUGUUCCACAGAGAGUCCCAGCAUCGAAGAGCCUGACCCCUUCAACAUGAAGGCCUUGGGGGGCCCCACUGACUACCUACCCACAGGUACCACCCUUGGGACCCACCAGGUAGCUAGGCACCGGACCGCCAAUGACUUUCCCUGGGCACUGGGCAUUCAGAUCAUGGGUUUUCCCCAAUAGCAGCUCCUGCGUCAUGAAAAGAGAACCGUUCCACUUCUUAGCCACGCACAGCAGGAGAGUCAGAGGAAAGGCACCUGUUCCCAUCCAACAAGCACGGUCUUCUUGAGCUGCCUCUUGAACUUACAAGGCAAAUUUGGAGCUUCUGUGGUCUAUUGUCCGUUUGCCCAACCGCCUGGUACACGAGCUGCAGAACGGAAGAUGUUUCUGUUGCAACACACAAUGAAUAGGGCCGUCUAGGUAUUCAUGCUAAGGACCACCUGCACCGGAGAGGGAAUUUGGCAUGUAUCUUGCCUACAGACGGAGGCACGUCGUAGGACAGAGGAAAGGGGUCCAAAGUCUUCCCAGUAUUCCAAGGACAGCCUUCAUCUCUGUCGCCAUCACCUCCCGACGCCUCGGGACACAAUCCCCACGGCUGUUAGGUACAUCCAGCAGGGGGAAGGUCCCUCAGCAUCUUGUAGGAUAAGGCCUCCAGACAACACACCACUUUUUGUUCCUACUUGCCUGACUUUGCAUCUGGCUGAACAAAAACGUCUAUUGCUCAAAUGCACCCAAUGUACUGAGCAAUCCAGAUGAGUGUGUAUAACUGGGGUCUCCAUGGUUCCCCAAUUUUUGCUGCCUACAAAAUUUACCAGCAACGCUUUUGUAGUUUCUUCUGGAUCGCUAAUAAAAAUAUUGAAUAGCAUUCAAACACAUCCCUUUGGACUCCCGUAAGAAAUGCCCUCAGCAAAUAACAAUUCACCAUUUUCAGGGACUAUUUGUGAUCAGUUAACUUGUCUCUAAUGCAUUUAGUGGGACUGCAUUGAUUUUAUAGCAUAACGCUUAAAAAAAAAAUCAGCACAUCUACAGUUACCUUACCCACCAUGUUUGUAAUUCCACCAUAAAUGAUAAAAACUUUGUUUCACAAGUUCUAUUUUCCCAGAAGCCAUGCUGACUUUAAGACACACUCAUUUUGUAACAGCCUUUCCAUGAUUUUUCCCAUGAUUGAUGCAAGACUAACCAGCUUAUCAUGUCUCAGGUCAUCCUGUUUCCCCCUUUUCUAAAACGUUCAGUCCAACAUGAGCUUUUGUGCAUUCUCUUAGAACGCCCAGUGUUCCACGAGGUUCAAAAAAAAUCAACAUAAAUACUUCGUACAUCUCCUCGGCCAAUUCUUUUAAUGCUCUCCCGCACUCACGCCCCUUCCCGGACUCUGCCCCCCCAAUCCCCUGCCCCAGCUCAUCCAAACUCCCUCUCAGACUCCACAUUUUCUCCGGUU